GACAGAGGUGCCGAGCGUUAGGCGGAAUCACUGGGCUUAAAGCGUGUGUAGGCGGGUCGUUAAGUGUCUUGUGAAAUCCCCCGGCUCAACCGGGGAAUGGCUGGGCAUACUGGCGAUCUUGAGCAGUUCAGGGGCAGAUGGAACAAGUGGUGGAGCGGUGAAAUGCGUAGAUAUCACUUGGAACGCCAACGGUGAAGACAGUCUGCUGGGAACUUGCUGACGCUGAGACACGAAAGCCAGGGGAGCGAACGGG
rnacentral:rRNA from 1 species